UAGUGAGGUGGCGGAACGGGUGAGUAACACGUGAGUAACCUGCCCUCUUCUUUGGGAUAACGCCCGGAAACGGGUGCUAAUACUGGAUAUUCACUGAUCUUCGCAUGGGGGUUGGUGGAAAGGUUUUUCUGUGGGGAUGGGCUCGCGGCCUAUCAGCUUGUUGGUGGGGUGAUGGCCUACCAAGGCUUUGACGGGUAGCCGGCCUGAGAGGGUGACCGGUCACAUUGGGACUGAGAUACGGCCCAG
rnacentral:rRNA from 1 species